UGACCUGCGGAGGGAUCAUUACCGAGUGAGGGUUCCGGCCCGACCUCCAACCCUUUGUUGACCAACACCUGUUGCCUCGGGGGCGGUCCGGCCGCGGACUUCGCGCCGGCCCCCCAGGGGACCACUAACUCUGUAUUUCUGCGUCGGAGUAUUAUAUGAAUCAAUCAAAACUUUCAACAACGGAUCUCUUGGUUCUGGCAUCGAUGAAGAACGCAGCGAAAUGCGAUAAGUAAUGUGAAUUGCAGAAUUCAGUGAAUCAUCGAAUCUUUGAACGCACAUUGCGCCCUUUGGUAUUCCGAAGGGCAUACCCGUUCGAGCGUCAUUACACCACUCAAGCCUGGCUUGGUAUUGGGCGGCGAGGCCCCCUCGCGCCCUAAUUUCUCCGGCGGGAAUGACCCCAAUUGCAAGCGUUGUAAUACAAAUUCGCACCGCAAGAAGGGGCUUCCACGCCGUUAAAAAUUGAACAAGGUUGACCUCGGAUCGGGUAGGGAUACCCGCUGAACUUAA
rnacentral:rRNA from 1 species